rnacentral:rRNA from 1 species
UACGUAGGGGGCUAGCGUUGUCCGGAAUCAUUGGGCGUAAAGCGUGCGCAGGCGGUGAUGUAAGACAGUUGUGAAAUCCCCGGGCUCAACCUGGGAACUGCAUCUGUGACUGCAUUGCUGGAGUGCGGCAGAGGGGGAUGGAAUUCCGCGUGUAGCAGUGAAAUGCGUAGAUAUGCGGAGGGAUACCGAUGGCGAAGGCAGCCCCCUGGGAUAACACUGACGCUCAUGCACGAAAGCGUGGGGAGCAAACAGG